rnacentral:rRNA from 1 species
AGCGAACGCUGGCGGCAGGCCUAACACAUGCCAGUCGAACGAACCUUUCGGGGUUAGUGGCGGACGGGUGAGUAACACGUGGGAACGUGCCUUUAGGUUCGGAAUAACUCAGGGAAACUUGUGCUAAUACCGAAUGUGCCCUUCGGGGGAAAGAUUUAUCGCCUUUAGAGCGGCCCGCGUCUGAUUAGCUAGUUGGUUGAGGUAAUGGCUCACCAAGGCGACGAUCAGUAGCUGGUCUGAGAGGAUGAUCAGCCACAUUGGGACUGAGGCACGGCCCAAACUCCUACGGGAGGCAGCAGUGGGGAAUCUUGCGCAAUGGGCGAAAGCCUGACGCAGCCAUGCCGCGUGAAUGAUGAAGGUCUUAGGAUUGUAAAAUUCUUUCACCGGGGACGAUAAUGACGGUACCCGGAGAAGAAGCCCCGGCUAACUUCGUG